CGCCGCGUGAGUGAUGAAGGCCCUUGGGUCGUAAAGCUCUGUCAAUGGGGAAGAAACAGCAGAGGGUUAAUAUCCUUUUGCCUUGACGGUACCCAUGAAGGAAGCACCGGCUAACUCCGUGCCAGCAGCCGCGGUAAUACGGGGGGUGCAAGCGUUAUUCGGAAUUAUUGGGCGUAAAGGGCGCGUAGGCGGCCAUUUAAGUCAGAUGUGAAAGCCCGGGGCUCAACCCCGGAAGUGCAUUUGAAACUGGAUGGCUUGAGUAUGGGAGAGGGAAGUGGAAUUCCAGGUGUAGAGGUGAAAUUCGUAGAUAUCUGGAGGAACACCAGUGGCGAAGGCGACUUCCUGGACCAAUACUGACGCUGAGGCGCGAAGGCGUGGGGAGCAAACAGGAUU
rnacentral:rRNA from 1 species